rnacentral:misc_RNA from 1 species
UACGGAGGGGGCUAGCGUUGUUCGGAAUCACUGGGCGUAAAGCGCGCGUAGGCGGUCCCUUAAGUCUGAUGUGAAAGCCCACGGCUCAACCCCGGAAUUGCGCCCGAAACUGCUGCGCUGGAGUGCGGGAGAGGGUGGUGGAAUUCCCAGUGUAGAGGUGAAAUUCGUAGAUAUUGGGAAGAACACCGGAGGCGAAGGCGGCCAUCUGGCCCGUGACUGACGCUGAGGCGCGAAAGCGUGGGGAGCAAACAGG